rnacentral:lncRNA from 1 species
UAGGAUUUGUUUACAUUGAACAUAUUAGUAAGUGUUACGACAAACGCACAAACGAAAACGAAAUAACGAACACAAAAUUAUCAAAUCAUAAGCAGAAAUGAAAGAAUACACAGAUUUACGUGAAAAAUCUUUUGCAGGAAAAAAACCACGGACGAGGGAGGAGAGAACAUCACUAUCGAAACAAAAGGGAAUAUAAUGUUCUUCAGAUUACAACUAACCACGAUCACACGCCUCUAGGGCAAAAACGAAGAGAAAAAAUUCAUAACGAAUUUCGGAUCCGAUCCGUACCGCGGGGGCCUCCGCCCCCCGCACCCUCGCACCCCCUGACGAAUGUCAGUGGUGGGCUACGGGCUCGGGCUUGACGGCCCGAGCCCUUCGCUAUCCAGCACAGACAUUUAUUUUCCCUUCACAAUUUAAUUUCUCAAUUUGGUCGCACCGCAAAGCUGUUGGCGAGUCAUAAAUCCAACGAAAUAGAUUUUGAGUCAUAUCUAACAGUAAGUAUUAUUAGUCCUU